rnacentral:sRNA from 1 species
UAUUCUACCCUACGGGGAAGGAUGAGAAGCUUCGACUAAGGUUCGACUCGAGCGCCAGCGAGAGAACGUUGCCGCAGGCAACGG